CAGUUGCCUUGGCAGCAGCCAUGCACUUACCGGUGGACCAUCGUGUCCUCACUGACAGAAACAGCCUUACCCAGGAACCAGCUUGAGCUGAGGAAGCCCAAGGGAAGCUCAACAGAAGAAAAUCCACAAGCAAGAGCCUCAGGAAUUCAAAUUUAGAGAACGCUGCCUCUGCUCACAGGAAACUUGGCCAGAAGUAAACUUGCAAAGGAAUGUAACCAUUGCAGAAGAUAGUGCUUGGCUUUUCAAGUCCAAGCCCCUAAAUACAUUGUGCUUUGGCUGUGA